AUACUUAGAUAUGAGAGCAUCUCCAUCAGCGGAUCAGUCCAAGUUCAUGGCCCAAAGUUUGAGGUGAAAUCCAUUUUUUUAAAAAGAAAAAUGUGCUAUUUUUGAUGAUCUGGUAUCGUCCGGAAGAGGCUGAAGAGCUGGUAUCAUGACCACGUGGCAGACUGUGAUUCGUCAAAAAUGGAGAAGAAUUUGGGGAUAAUUUUUUUUUCUCAUCUCAUUUUUUUUCUACACUCGUCUCUCUUCGUCUUCCAAAGCGAUUUUUGGGAUUUGAAGGCUGAUCGGAGAAAACGCAAAAUCAACCGGAGUAGAUCUGUUCCAAUCAUCGAGUAUCCAUCAGAGCAUCCAAGAAUAAAGUUUGUAAUCGGAGGGAGACUGCACGGAUGUUUCGUAACGGCGGAGGAGGAGGAGUGUUAGCGAGAGCCGGCUUCACUCGGCGGCCACUUGAAACUUCAGCCUCGAGUGAGGUCGUUAACGAAUCCAGCGAUGACGGGUUCAUCGUAAUCAGACUGGAAGGUCAAGAGGAUGAGUUCUAUCCUCCGCCUUCCUCCGAUUUACUGUCUUCAAUUCCGUCAAGUGUUUUAGUAGCUCUCCAAAUGAAUAUUUGGUUUUGAAUUCUGUAUCCUUACUGGAAUCGUAAUUAUAGUAUUACGAAGUGUGUUCGUUGCUUUUUUUGAUGGUUUGGUAUUUGAUAUGUCAUCGAGGGAUAUGACAGAAUCUACGAGAAGAAAUGGUUCGCGUUCUAGAGGAGUAACUGCAAGGUUUGGAAGGCUAAAGGUCCAGAAAGUGAAAUCUCUUGUUGGAAAGGUAACGCAGCAGAAGCAGCAUAUGAAUCACAAUGUGGAACAAGCCGAGGGCGACGCCACCUUCAGACUUCAGAGCCGGAGAAAUCAGUGGAUUGCUCGAAAGCUUCCUCCAUUAUGACCCUGUGGUGCAGCGUCAGCGUUUUGUUGAUCAGCUCAAGGUAUAUUUGAGAAGCCUAUAUGUUUAUAGGUGUUUAUAUGUUUGUAGAAACUACACCUACAUUGAAAUCAGCUGAAUUGAAACUAUGUAUAGAUGCUUAUAUGUUUGUAGAAACAUACCUGGCAAUUUGUAGCCGAUACAUUGAACAGCUUACAAAAAGCACAAAAGAGAAUAAAGAUUAUUCUGUUUU